rnacentral:ncRNA from 2 species
CGUAUCAAGGAGCGUUGCGACAAGACAUCGAUCUUGCCAGGCUUGAUACCGUCACCAAGCAACUGCGCUCACGUUAC